rnacentral:rRNA from 1 species
GACGAACGCUGGCGGCGUGCCCAAUACAUGCAAGUUGAGCGAUGAAGAUUGGUGCUUGCACCAAUUUGAAGAGCAGCGAACGGGUGAGUAACGCGUGGGGAAUCUGCCUUUGAGCGGGGGACAACAUUUGGAAACGAAUGCUAAUACCGCAUAACAACUUUAAACAUAAGUUUUAAGUUUGAAAGAUGCAAUUGCAUCACUCAAAGAUGAUCCCGCGUUGUAUUAGCUAGUUGGUGAGGUAAAGGCUCACCAAGGCGAUGAUACAUAGCCGACCUGAGAGGGUGAUCGGCCACAUUGGGACUGAGACACGGCCCAAACUCCUACGGGAGGCAGCAGUAGGGAAUCUUCGGCAAUGGACGAAAGUCUGACCGAGCAACGCCGCGUGAGUGAAGAAGGUUUUCGGAUCGUAAAACUCUGUUGGUAGAGAAGAACGUUGGUGAGAGUGGAAAGCUCAUCAAGUGACGGUAACUACCCAGAAAGGGACGGCUAACUACGUG